rnacentral:rRNA from 1 species
AUACGGAGGGUGCGAGCGUUAUCCGGAUUUAUUGGGUUUAAAGGGAGCGUAGGUGGGAUAUUAAGUCAGCUGUGAAAGUUUGGGGCUCAACCUUAAAAUUGCAGUUGAUACUGGUUUCCUUGAGUACGGUACAGGUGGGCGGAAUUCGUGGUGUAGCGGUGAAAUGCUUAGAUAUCACGAAGAACUCCGAUCGCGAAGGCAGCUCACCGGGCCGGAACUGACACUGAUGCUCGAAAGUGCGGGUAUCAAACAGGAUUAGAUACCCUGGUAGUCCGCACAGUAAACGAUGAAUACUCGCUGUUUGCGAUACACUGUAAGCGGCCAAGCGAAAGCGUUAAGUAUUCCACCUGGGGAGUACGCCGGCAACGGUGAAACUCAAAGGAAUUGACGGGG